rnacentral:rRNA from 1 species
GAUGAACGCUGGCGGCGUGCCUAAUACAUGCAAGUCGAGCGAAUGGAUUAAGAGCUUGCUCUUAUGAAGUUAGCGGCGGACGGGUGAGUAACGCGUGGGUAACCUGCCCAUAAGACUGGGAUAACUCCGGGAAACCGGGGCUAAUACCGGAUAACAUUUUGAACCGCAUGGUUCGAAAUUGAAAGGCGGCUUCGGCUGUCACUUAUGGAUGGACCCGCGUCGCAUUAGCUAGUUGGUGAGGUAACGGCUCACCAAGGCAACGGUGCGUAGCCGACCUGAGAGGGUGAUCGGCCACACUGGGACUGAGACACGGCCCAGACUCCUACGGGAGGCAGCAGUAGGGAAUCUUCCGUAAUGGACGAAAGUCUGACGGAGCAACGCCGCGUGAGUGAUGAAGGCUUUCGGGUCGUAAAACUCUGUUGUUAGGGAAGAACAAGUGCUAGUUGAAUAAGCUGGCACCUUGACGGUACCUAACCAGAAAGCCACGGCUAACUACGUGCCAGCCGCCGCGGUAA